rnacentral:rRNA from 1 species
UACGGAGGGGGCUAGCGUUGUUCGGAAUUACUGGGCGUAAAGCGCGCGUAGGCGGCUUUGUAAGUUAGAGGUGAAAGCCCGGAGCUCAACUCCGGAAUUGCCUUUAAGACUGCAUCGCUAGAAUCAUGGAGAGGUUAGUGGAAUUCCGAGUGUAGAGGUGAAAUUCGUAGAUAUUCGGAAGAACACCAGUGGCGAAGGCGACUAACUGGACAUGUAUUGACGCUGAGGUGCGAAAGCGAGGGGAGCAAACAGG